rnacentral:rRNA from 1 species
UGCGUAGGCGGAUUUUUAAGUCAGUGGUGAAAGCCCGGAGCUCAACUCCGGAACUGCCAUUGAUACUAUUAAUCUUGAAUACAGUUGAGGUGGGCGGAAUGUGUAGUGUAGCGGUGAAAUGCUUGAUAUUACACAGAACACCGAUUGCGAAGGCAGCUCGCUAAACUGUUAUUGACGCUGAGGCACGAAAGCGUGGGGAGCGAACAGGAUUAGAUACCCUGGUAGUCC